UUGCGGUAGGGCUUUCUUGCGAUGUGUUUUGGCUAAGAAAUCUGCCACUUGAUUUGAUUCGCGUGGGUUGUAGACAAGCUCUACAGCUUUUAACCGAGAUAGCUUUUGUUUGCAUUCUUCAAGGAUGGCCUGAAUCUCCCACGGGCCCGGAGUCUGGCCCAUUAUGAUGUCCACCAAAGAUAAGCUGUCAGAACUCACCACCACGUGCAGAUCAACACUUCUCUGCAGAUCAGUUCUGCUUUUCCACAGAUCAGUUUCAUCUUCUAAGUACAAUAGAGCCACAUGCAAAGCUAGGGUUUCGACUUCCAUCACCGAGGAGGCUACCACACUUUUAGCAAAACCACCCACAACUCUCCCAGUAGAAUCUCGGCAGAUCCCGGCAACGGCACCCACCCUCUCGCCUUCGACGAUUGACCCGUCGAUGUUUAGUUUUAAUCCGCCGGUCGCUGGAGGAGUCCACGAAACAGGCACAUGCUUCGUCAACUAUCAAGCUUGGAUCUGGACUUCGAUUCUGAAAGAUGACUCUGUUUCGAGCCAACCAAAUUUUCCACAAUACCCCGGCGACCAGCUCAGGUGACGUCGCAAAGUAAGAAGAGAUGCUCCACU